GACCAUGAGCUGGUUGUAGCAUGGCUUGGCUUCUAACAAAGUUUUCACCAUUUUAGGCUGCAUUUAAAAGUACAGUGUCCAUGUCAGGGUAGGAGGCCAAGGUGCGGGAGAAGUUUCUGUCCAGGAUCUCUGAAGUCUUUACCAAAGAUAGAAGCAUGAUUCUAAGAAGAACCUUUUUUGGGAGAAGAAGGCUGAUAUUCUACCUCAAUGAGGCCAGAAUAAAAGAAAACAGAUCUAUUGCACCCCAAUUUCCCUUUGGAGAAUUACUUCCUCCAUGUUGUAUGCAGCCUCAGGAUGUCCUGCCCACCAGCCACAGAGGCUACUGGCUCCUUUCAACAGAAGCUCUCACCACCCAGCUACAGCCAAGCGUGUGACCCAAGCUCCAUCAGACUCCCUCUCCUUAGAUUUGACCCUUAGACCAGUGACUACAAGGGCAAAAGAAAUGGUCAGGGUUCAUUCAAUGCCACGUUUGUUCCUGCCACCUCGUCUAUUCCCAGCCUUGUGCCUUCAUCCUCCCUUCAAUCAUACAAAAGCACUAAUAUCUUUCCAGUAUGUUCCAUUAUGCUUUAGUCAGCUCAUUAGUUUCUGUUGCCUACAACCAAGUAACCCUAAGUGGAUAAAGUUUCAUGAAGAUUUGUUUUUGUUUGUUUUUCGUGGAGUUCCGCUGCUAAAAUGUGAGAGUUUGGACCAGAUGAUUUGAGUUGCUGCUCCUGGUCCUGUGUGUUUAAGCUUAAAAA
rnacentral:lncRNA from 1 species